UAGUAACUGCGAGUGAAGCGGGAAAAGCUCAAAUUUAAAAUCUGGCGGUCUCUGGCCGUCCGAGUUGUAAUCUAGAGAAGUGUUAUCCGCGCUGGACCGUGUACAAGUCUCCUGGAAUGGAGCGUCAUAGAGGGUGAGAAUCCCGUCUUUGACACGGACUGCCAGGGCUUUGUGAUGCGCUCUCAAAGAGUCGAGUUGUUUGGGAAUGCAGCUCAAAAUGGGUGGUAAAUUCCAUCUAAAGCUAAAUAUUGGCGAGAGACCGAUAGCGAACAAGUACCGUGAGGGAAAGAUGAAAAGAACUUUGGAAAGAGAGUUAAACAGUACGUGAAAUUGCUGAAAGGGAAACGCUUGAAGUCAGUCGCGUUGGCCGGGGAUCAACCUUGCUUUUGCUGGGCGUACUUUCCGGUUGACGGGUCAGCAUCAAUUUUGACCGUUGGAUAAAGUCCAGGGGAAUGUGGCAUCUUCGGAUGUGUUAUAGCCCUUGGUCGCAUACAACGGUUGGGAUUGAGGAACUCAGCACGCCGCAAGGCCGGGUACUUGUACCACGUUCGUGCUUAGGAUGCUGGCAUAAUGGCUUUAAUCGACCCGUCUUGAAACACGGACCAAGGAGUCUAACAUGCCUGCGAGUGUUUGGGUGGAAAACUCGGACGCGUAAUGAAAGUGAAAGUUGAGAUCCCUGUCGUGGGGAGCAUCGACGCCCGGACCAGACCUUUUGUGACGGAUCCGCGGUAGAGCAUGUAUGUUGGGACCCGAAAGAUGGUGAACUAUGCCUGAAUAGGGUGAAGCCAGAGGAAACUCUGGUGGAGGCUCGUAGCGAUUCUGACGUGCAAAUCGAUCGUCAAAUUUGGGUAUAGGGGCGAAAGACUAAU
rnacentral:rRNA from 3 species